rnacentral:tRNA from 1 species
AAGGGAGACCUAAUUCCGGUAGGAGACGAAAAAAAAGUAGUCCCAACCAAGAAUCAAUCCCAAAAGGUCGGAACGAGGUAUGAGGCUUUCAAACUAGGUUCUGGGUUCAUAAAAGACCUUAAUCAGGAACAAGGGCUAUUAGCUCAGGUGGUUAGAGCGCACCCCUGGUAAGGGUGAGGUCCCUGGUUCGAGUCCAGGAUGGCCCACCUGCACAGGUGGCAAAAACAAGAGAAGCUCCGAAUCAGCACCUUAUCUUAUAUACAUAUAUAAGAGAGAAUGCUGGCUCUGAGUACAGAGUCCAGAGGAACCUUGAAAACUGCAUAGAGCUAGGUGAAAAAGCCAAAAAAGAAGACCGCAA